GAAGAAAUGGACGUUAUGGGUAGAAGACAAAAACAUCGGAGGUAGUAUCAGGAAGUAGAGGAAGAAAUGGACGUUACAGGUAGAAGACAAAAACAUCGGAGCUGAGUGAGCUGUGACUUACAUCUAAAAUGAGUCUCUCUGGGGAGAGAGAGGAGGGGACCACUGCCUCUAAAAUGAGUCUCUCUGGGGAGAGAGAG